CCCCCUGCUCAGUCUUUUGGCUAAGAUCAAGUGUGAUAUCCAUUCUUAUCAGUUUAAUAUCUGAUACGUCCCCUAUCUGGCGGCCAAAUACUAAAUUGAAUUUUUGAUCAGGGAGAUGGAGCAGGGGCUUUCUUCUUCCACUCCAAGCAUCAAUCUGGUAUUGCAGUGCUUCCAGGAAUGGUGCAGCUUCC